AGAGUUUGAUCAUGGCUCAGGACGAACGCUGGCGGCGUGCUUAACACAUGCAAGUCGAGCGAAGUGCUUGUAACUGAUUCCUUCGGGAUGACGUUACAAGUAUCUUAGCGGCGGACGGGUGAGUAACGCGUGAGAAACCUGCCUUUCACAAGGGAAUAGCCUCGGGAAACUGGGAUUAAUGCCCUAUGAUACUUUUUCAUCACAUGAAGAAUAAGUUAAAGCGUAAAGCGGUGAAAGAUGGUCUCGCGUCCCAUUAGUUAGUUGGUGAGAUAACGGCUCACCAAGACGUCGAUGGGUAGCCGGCCUGAGAGGGUGAACGGCCACACUGGAACUGAGAUACGGUCCAGACUCCUACGGGAGGCAGCAGUGGGGAAUAUUGCACAAUGGAGGAAACUCUGAUGCAGCGACGCCGCGUGAACGACGAAGGCCUUCGGGUCGUAAAGUUCUGUCCUUGGGGACGAUAAUGACGGUACCCAAGGAGGAAGCCCCGGCUAACUACGUGCCAGCAGCCGCGGUAAUACGUAGGGGGCGAGCGUUGUCCGGAAUUAUUGGGCGUAAAGGGUUCGCAGGCGGUCUUUUAAGUCAGAUGUUAAAUGCAUAGGCUCAACCUAUGAGUGCAUUUGAAACUGGAAGACUUGAGUUAAGGAGAGGAAAGUGGAAUUCCUAGUGUAGCGGUGAAAUGCGUAGAUAUUAGGAGGAAUACCAGUGGCGAAGGCGACUUUCUGGACUUUUUCUGACGCUGAGGAACGAAAGCAUGGGGAGCAAACAGGAUUAGAUACCCUGGUAGUCC
rnacentral:rRNA from 1 species